AAUGUAUGACGCUGUUGACUUUUUAAUCAACGUUUGACCAUUCGUCUUAUUCAAAAAAUUUAUGUUAUUAUCAUUUAUUUUAUCGUGACUUGAUUUAUCAUCAAAUGUUCUUUAAACAUGCUAUAAAUAUUUUUAUAUUUAUACACAAAUUUUGAAUAAGACGAAUGGUCAAACGUUGAUUAUAAAGUCAACGGCGUCAUAUAUU
rfam:Oryza glumipatula chromosome 7, whole genome shotgun sequence.